AUGGACAGUUUCAAUGCCAAGAAAGAUAGAGCGAAGAAAAUGAAAAAAGACAAAGUCCACAGCAAAGCGCGCAAGAAGAAGGGAAGUGCAAAUGAAGUCAGCAAGAGCAGACCCAAUGAUACAGUUACAAAUACUAACAGGAGCACUAAAGUAGCAGAAGAAGAAGAAGAAUCUAACUCUUCAGGUUCAGACAGUGAAGAAAAUGAAUCACAAAAAUACGCUCGAUCGAAAAUUGUUUCAAAUCAAUCGUAUUAUGAUAAAAGUUUACCAGAUGUUGAUCCAGAGCCUUGCGCAGCUAGUUUAGAAGAAUUGGCAGCAGCUGAUGAUGUGACAGGUGGCAUUUUCCAGUUUAAAGGGAAGCUGAUUGGGCAUCCUGCCCGGAAAAUAUCAGUAAUCAAUAUUUUCACAUCGACUUAA
rnacentral:lncRNA from 1 species